rnacentral:rRNA from 1 species
UACAGAGGGGGCAAGCGUUGUUCGGAAUUACUGGGCGUAAAGGGCGCGUAGGCGGCCUGCUAAGUCGAACGUGAAAUCCCCGGGCUCAACCCGGGAACUGCGUCCGAUACUGGCAGGCUUGAAUCCGGGAGAGGGAUGUGGAAUUCCAGGUGUAGCGGUGAAAUGCGUAGAUAUCUGGAGGAACACCGGUGGCGAAGGCGGCAUCCUGGACCGACACUGACACUGAGGAGCGAAAGCCAGGGGAGCAAACGGG